UGUGAUUAGGCCCACCUGAUGAAAUGUAAAAACAUGCGUGGGAUAUUUGAUUACAUAGCAACCAGCUAAAACUGAGAGCACACAGCCUUUGGAAACCCCCAAGGUGUCAAGGGGGAUCAGAUCCAGAUAAGAGACGAUGAUUCCUUCUAGUCCUGUAAAAUUUCCUGUCAUCCUUAGCUGCUGGGUUGAUUGAAAUUUGAUCUCUACAUUUCAAAAUCAAACCAGUGAAUACAGUUUGUCUUUCAAGAGCAUCAGAGGCAUCGUAACUCCUACCAAGUUAAUGAGGAAACUGAGGCUUAGACCAGAUGAGGACUCACUUAAAUCCACUCAAUAUGUAGAUGGUAGAGCUGGGACUAGCAACAUUGCUGCAGCCUGUUCUUGGCCUCUCUCUUCACUUUAUCAUUGCCCAAGAAUGAGGAUAUGCAGUAAACAGAAUUCAGUAGCAGUUUACAUAAUACAGCAUUCUGCAAAAAUUGCAUGAGAUGUGGACACAAAAUGUACUGUAUGACUUAAUUACCUGUCAUUCUCUGACAACAUUACUACCUACUAGAAGUUCAAAUAAUUUAUCUUUAACAUUGCAAUAUCUGAUAAACCUUUUAAAAUGUAAAUAAUUCAAAGCCUUGAAAAUCUAUCAUGAAUCUGCUCAACAUUUCAAAGUGACUAUUUUGAAAUGCCUAUAAAUGCUAUAUACCUG
rnacentral:sRNA from 1 species